rnacentral:lncRNA from 1 species
ACUUGGCUGCAACUGGACCCAGAACUAGGGAAGAGGCCAGGGACAGAUUUUUUUUUUUUAUUUUUAUUUUUUUUGCCGAGGGACGUUUCAAAAUUUUGCACGGCCAGGGUGACAAAAAGAGGAUUUAAGAGCCACAAGCGGUCCGCACAUGACCCAGACUUCGUUCCUGUGCGGCUUCCAGAGGUGUUCAUGCAGAAGACUGGAUGCAGGACCCUUGGUGGCACCAGUGUGCAGAUGAGCAGAUAGUGACUGAUUGCCACUGGGGCUAUAACAAAAUAUAAUAAACUGGGUACCUUAGAAGCAACGGAAAUUGAUUUCUCAUCGUUCUAGAAGCUAGGAAGUUCACGAUCAAGGUAGCAGCAGAGUUGGUGCCUGAAUUGCCCAGCAGAUGUCUUUUUCAUUUCCUUUGCUUGUGGUUUGCCCAUCUGUCAGCUGUGAAUGACCCAAACAACGUGACACGCUAUUUCUAACUCAACAGUCCUGGAACUUUCUUGACCUUUGACAAAGCCAUCAGAUCACCAUCACCAUCAUUAUUGUUUAUAGAAACAUGAAAAUUCAACCAUAAAAAGUCAUCUUGGGCUGAGCAUGGUGGCUCUAACAUGUAAUCCCAGCACUUUGGGAGCCUAAGGUAUGCUCACUCUUUCACUAACCUUGAGAGACAUUGUCAGAUGUGCAUAAGGGAAGAACAUGAAGGACGACGGAUAAACUGUACACAGACACAGCACAUGGAGUCUGAGUCAUUUGUUUUCUCUGACAGAUCUUUACCAUGCUGGAUUGGAAGAGAAAAGACCAUCACUAAAGCAAAUGGAUCAAAUGGAGUUAUAAAUCAACUCUGUACUCUACAGGAUUGACUCAACUGCAGACAUCUCCAAUACACUCCCUCAUGGCUUUAUUUUUUCUGCUUAUGUGGAAAAAUAACAGUAAAUACAGUUAACUAUCCCAAGACAGAAGAGUAUUAUUAAAAAAGAAUACAACGUUAUUGAUUUUUCAAGACAUAAUCAGAUAUUUUUAAACUCUGAUUUAAUAAAACAUAAUGUAAUUUC